GCUAGGUUGGCCGAGCGGUCUAAGGCGCCAGACUUAAGAUCUGGUUCCCAUUCUGGGAGCGUGGGUUCGAACCCCACACUUAGCA
rfam:Lasius niger Lnig_2.1_666, whole genome shotgun sequence.